UCUAGACUGACCGGUCCGAACGAUGGUGCUCUCUAGAGGCACAUAAAAUAAUAAUAAUAAUCUAAAGUCUACGUCACGAGUCAAGGACAGCCCCGUUGGUGUGAGAGAUGAAAUAGGUCAGCAUUUCAUUUUAUUUGUGCCCCACCAGCGGCGAAACCAUGUAGUGGAUCGUAAUCAUCGAAGUUAGACUCCAUUUGGGGUAAGAGUGAGAAAAAUAUAACAUUUUUCUACGGUACUUUAUAGCUUAUACGGAAAAUGAAGACUUAAAAACUGACAGCUUACUUGAUUUGGACAAUGAUUUAAAUUGAAUUAAUGAAACAAUAAACAGCAAAUACUUUUAUACACUAAUAAUUUGUUCUUAUAUAUGAUUAGUAUGUGUCGUUCGUAUACAUGAUUUGUAUUAAUUGUAAUUACAAGAAUAAUACUAAUUAACUAUUAAUUUCUGAAAUGAAGUAACAAUUUUAAAUAUACCUAUGUUUUUAUGUUGUUUCAGAAUGUUGUUGUU